UGGGAGAGAAUGUAGCUAUACAUCGCCGAAGGUGCAAGAGCGUAAACUCUCAGGCAAAAGGACUGGAU
rnacentral:ncRNA from 1 species